GUCCGUCUGGAAGUUGCACUUUAACGUGAUCGUGUCACCGAUGACGACAGGUGGGAGGGGAUCCAUGGAAACAAUCAGGUAACCUGCAGGAAAGAUGGAUAUCAGCCGACAAUCCCAAAGACUGGCAACCUUUGGUGUCUUCACGGAUUUGCAGCGAACACUUCUAACCAGGCCGCUGAUGUUUCCUAUCCGGUCCAUGCGUGCGCCGAAGCAGCUGGAGGCCCGCUUCCUAAGGCUCAGCAGCAGGUCG